AGUCCUCUUGCUGCACCCACAAUUGUUUGCAUUACUGCUGUGAUUCACGGCAGCUGCCACUGCUGCAUUUCUCAGAAGAAAACCCAUCAUUUUGAAACCUAUCCAUGAUGAUGAUAAAGCCGUGUGUCUUCAGGACAUGACUAGGAGCAGCUCCUUUGCCUCUGCAGAGGGACGAAGAGGAAGGACAGCAGCCAGCCAAAUGCAGCAAAGGACCAGAAGCAUCAGGAAUACCACUGGCAGAUUUUAUGAUGUCUUCCUCUGCAUGCCGACUGCCAUCUCAUGUGUGUUGCUCUCACACCACCUCUGCUCUCACCUGCAAGAUCACUCUGCCCACAGGUCUUUGACUGAGAUUUGAUGUGAGAGCCAGAGACUGAAAGUGAUUCCUGCUUCCCAAGGUCUUCCUGGAUUAACUGUUCAGCAAGGCCCCUGUGAGCACCAUGACCAGCCUGUACCGAUGCCCCGUGGGGCUGUAUUGCACCAGCCAGCCUGGAAAAGAGCUGAUCUUCCUGAAGCUCCAUCCAUCAGCAGGGCUUAUACCUCUGGGGGCCUCCCACGCUGGCCCUGAUCCUCCAG
ensembl:lncRNA